UCCUCCGGGGUCCAGCAACUACUACCUUACGAUGUAUUAUACGACGUGACACUAUUUCACCAGACUGCUGAAGUCUUGGAAGGGGUUUUUAUGUUUGUACGUCUGGAAAUGUCUCCGGUUACUAAAUAAAUAAAGAACCAGCAGGAAUUUGGGAGUUUGUUAUUAUGUCCCGCAUUUUCUUCCUGUGACAUUUGGCGCCCACGUAGGGA